rnacentral:rRNA from 1 species
AACGCUAGCUACAGGCUUAACACAUGCAAGUCGAGGGGCAGCAUGGUCUUAGCUUGCUAAGGCCGAUGGCGACCGGCGCACGGGUGAGUAACACGUAUCCAACCUGCCGUCUACUCUUGGACAGCCUUCUGAAAGGAAGAUUAAUACAAGAUGGCAUCAUGAGUCCGCAUGUUCACAUGAUUAAAGGUAUUCCGGUAGACGAUGGGGAUGCGUUCCAUUAGAUAGUAGGCGGGGUAACGGCCCACCUAGUCUUCGAUGGAUAGGGGUUCUGAGAGGAAGGUCCCCCACAUUGGAACUGAGACACGGUCCAAACUCCUACGGGAGGCGGCAGUGAGGAAUAUUGGUCAAUGGGCGAGAGCCUGAACCAGCCAAGUAGCGUGAGGGAUGACUGCCCUAUGGGUUGUAAACUUCUUUUAUAAAGGAAUAAAGUCGGGUAUGGAUACCCGUUUGCAUGUACUUUAUGAAUAAGGAUCGGCUAACUCCGUGCCAGCAGCCGCGGUAAUACGGAGGAUCCGAGCGUUAUCCGGAUUUAUUGGGUUUAAAGGGAGCGUAGAUGGAUGUUUAAGUCAGUUGUGAAAGUUUGCGGCUCAACCGUAAAAUUGCAGUUGAUACUGGAUAUCUUGAGUGCGGUUGAGGCAGGCGGAAUUCGUGGUGUAGCGGUGAAAUGCUUAGAUAUCACGAAGAACUCCGAUUG